rnacentral:lncRNA from 1 species
AAUUGUACCCCUUUGAUAUCUCCUGAUAUGUAGUAAAAGGAAUCAUAUUUGCUACUUUUUUUUUUUUAAAGCAACCCCAGUUUAUUUUAUUUUUUUCUUUUUAGGGCCACACCAGCAGCAUAUGGAAAUUCCGGGCCUAAGCAUUGAAUCGGAGCUGUCGCUUUGAUCUGUACCACAGCCACGGCAACAGCAGAUCUGAGCCACAUAUGCAACCAAUGCCAGAUGCUUCACCCUCUGAGUGAGGCCAAGGAUCAAACCCACAUCCUCACAGAUGAUGCAACGGGAACUCCUCGCUCCUUUCUUCAGUUAGCAGGCUGGAAAGUCAGUACCUCCAGGACCACACUGGGCUGGGGAGGGGGCACCAGGUGAGAGAGAGGCGGGCCAGAAGCUGCCAGGGCAGAAUAAUCAUGUUUAUAACACUAAUUACGACACCAUGAACAGGUAGCAUCGAGUGAACCUUUGCGCUAAACAUUUUGAAAUCAUUAUUUUAUUGAUUAUUCAUAACAACCCACGAAGUAAGAAUUAUCGCAAUUUUCCUAGCAAGAAAACGGGUUAAGGCAGUCAGAGAGAACAAAGGGGCCUCGUAUUUGCUGCUCCUGCAAACGCCUCUUUACCCUGCAGGAGACCUGGACUUGUUAUUUCUGAGAGAUUCUUCCAGUUUCCUCUGUUCAGUGUGACACAUCCCAUUGAGGGCAGCCGAUGGGCCUGGCUCGGGUCAUGUGUCCUUUCCUGAAGCCGUCACUCAGGUCAGGGGAAGCAGAGAGAUACGACUGGUUCAGUGAGAGAUGGGGCCCUUCAAAACCCUUGUCUUGUUCCUAGUUGUUUUUUUUUUUUUUUUUUUAGGGCUGCACUUGCAGCAUGUGGAGGUUCCAGGCUAGGGGUUGAAUCAGAGCUGCAGCUGCCGGCCUGUGCCACAGCCACAGCAACGCCAAAUCCCAGCCAAGUCUUGUGACCUACACCAUAGCUCACAGCAACACCAGAUCCUUAACCCACUGAGCAAGGCCAGGGAUCGAACCCACAUCCUCAUGGAUACUAGUCGGGCUUGUUAGUACCGAGCCCCAACAGGAACUCUCUGUUCCUGGCUUUAAGGGAGAUGCGUCUGCACUUCGGCAAUGGCCACAAAAAGGAGACUUGCAGCCUGUUUAAAAAGACCAAAAUAGAGAAAUAAUAAAGUUCACAGCUAGAAAAUAUCGAUACUGUAAAUGUACUAUUAUAAAGAUGUCAGUUCUCUCUGAAUGAGCUAAAUGCAGUUCCAAUCAAAAUCCCAGCAGUCUUGGGAGCUCCCUGGUGUCUCGGUGGGUUAAGGAUCCGGUGUUGUCACUGCUGCGGCUCAAGUUCAAACCCUAGCCGGGGAACUUCCGCAUUCCAUGGUGAGGCCAGAAAAAAAAAAUUCCAUUGUUUUUCAAGGAACUUAGCAAACUGAAUCUAAAAUUUUAUGUAGGAGUGAAGAACCAAGAAUGGACAAAGAAUUCCUGAAGAAGGAAAAAAAAAAAAAAAAAAAACAGAGGAACUUUCAUAGCAAAUAGAAGGUCUCACUGUGCAGCUGUUGCUAUAGGGAAAAAAAUGGAAUCAGAUUCCCGUCUGUGCCCAGGCACAAAGAUCAACUCUAAGGAAGAAAGACUUAAACAUUUGCUAGGCAAAACCUAAAUAAAGAAGUGGAUCAGAGUAACAGAAGCAAACAGAAAAAUCUCUUCAAAACCUUCCCCAAUCUAGAUGAAAAGAUUGGCAAAUGCAACUACAUUCAAAUUAAGAAGUCCAUUCAUCAGGAGUUGUCAAUGGGACGCAGCGGAAACGAAGCCGACUAGGAACCACGAGGUUGCAGGUUCGAGCCCUGGUCUUACUCAGUGGGUUAAGGAUCUGGUGUUGCCGUGAGCCUUGUGUAGGGUGGCAGCUGUAGCCUGGGAACCUCCAUAUGCCACCGGUGUGGCCCUAAAACGACAAAAAAA